UUUCGCAAUGCCCGAAAGGGUGACGAAGCGACGCCGCGUGUGGGAAGAAGGCCUUCGGGUUGUAAACCACUGUCGGGAGUUAGGAAAUGUAAGGGUGCUAAUAGUAUCCUUACUUGACUAAGGCUCCGGAGGAAGCCACGGCUAACUCUGUGCCAGCAGCCGCGGUAAUACAGAGGCGGCAAGCGUUGUUCGGAAUUAUUGGGCGUAAAGAGCACGUAGGCGGCCUUGUAAGUCAGUUGUGAAAGCCUUCUGCUUAACGGAAGAACAGCAUCUGAUAUUGCAAGGCUAGAGUGCGGAAGGGGAGAGUGGAACUUCUGGUGGAGCGGUGAAAUGCGUAGAUAUCAGAAGGAACACCGGCGGCGAAGGCGACUCUCUGGUCCGUAACUGACGCUGAGUGUGCGAAAGCUAGGGGAGCAAACGGGAUUAGAUACCCCGGUAGUCCUAGCCGUAAACGAUGGGCACUAAGUAGAGGGGUUUUA
rnacentral:rRNA from 1 species